AACGAACGCUGGCGGCAGGCUUAACACAUGCAAGUCGAACGCCCCGCAAGGGGAGUGGCAGACGGGUGAGUAACGCGUGGGAACGUGCCCUUCGCUUCGGAAUAGUCCCGGGAAACUGGGUUUAAUACCGAAUACGCCGUAUUGGGAAAGAUUUAUCGGCGAAGGAUCGGCCCGCGUUAGAUUAGGUAGUUGGCGGUGUAAUGGACCACCAAGCCUACGAUCUAUAGCUGGUCUGAGAGGAUGAUCAGCCACACUGGGACUGAGACACGG
rnacentral:rRNA from 1 species